AAAGUUAUCAAACAAUUCUCUGUUUAUUACAUGGCUAAAACUUUGAAAUAUGUAUGUGCUAUGAUCGUCUUUCAUUUUUUCUUUGUUAUUGCAACAGAAGUUAGUGGUAAGCUUUUUUCCAUAAUUUUUUUCUUCAUCUUAUAUACAUUAUUUUAUCCAAAUUAUUCUAGGGCAUUGCAUAAUUCUUGUUUUACAUAACAGCAUUUCUUGAACGCUGCCACGAAGAUUCUGAUUGUCCAAAUUCGUGUCAACCUCGUAAGAUUGUAUAUUGCUUUUGGAAUCAUUGCUAUUGUGUGUAUAGUAGUUAGGUUUGAACUUUAUUUCAGAAUAGCCUUCUAUGUUGUAUUUUUGAAGAAUUAGUGUUUUAGUUUUUAUAUUAUGUUUGUAUUCUUAGUUUUUUUUAAAUAAGGUUGAUUACAAAAAUAUGUGUAAUAUUUUAAGAUUAAGAUAAUUCAUAUAGACAUGCGGGUCGAGUACAUUGGCCCCUAUAGUUAUACUUCAUUGUCUUUCUAAAGCCUCCUACAUCCAACAUCCUCCUUCUUUGUUGCAUCAUACCUAUGAUGGAAUUAAAUCAAUAAAAACUGUUCUGCGAUCGCGAAAAUGAUCGCGAUAAAA
rnacentral:lncRNA from 1 species